AGAUUGAACAGGAGCAGAAAAACACAACUGUUAAGGCUGAGGCAGAGCCAUCCACAAGUGAUGGAGAUACAAAAAAAGGAAAGCGAAAGCUGGAUCAGGGGGUGUUUCACAAAGGAGAACCAACAGCAAAACGGUUUCGCAGGAGUAUGUCAGCGUCUUCGUCUUCGUCAUCGUCAG